rfam:Candidatus Korarchaeum cryptofilum OPF8, complete genome.
GCGGGGGUGGCCGAGCCAGGUUCAAGGCGACGGACUCAAGAUCCGUUGGGCGUCAGGCCCUCGUGGGUUCGAAUCCCACCCCCCGCA